ACAGGACUUAAAAUCCUGCGGUUGAAUAAACCGUGCCGGUUCGAUUCCGGCCAUCUGCACCA
rnacentral:tRNA from 1 species